rnacentral:rRNA from 1 species
UUGUAUAAUGGGUCAGCGACUUAUAUUCUGUAGCAAGGUUAACCGUAUAGGGGAGCCGAAGGGAAACCGAGUCUUAACCGGGCGUUAAGUUGCAGGGUAUAGACCCGAAACCCGGUGAUCUAGCCAUGGGCAGGUUGAAGGUUGGGUAACACUAACUGGAGGACCGAACCGACUAAUGUUGAAAAAUUAGCGGAUGACCUGUGGCUGGGGGUGAAAGGCCAAUCAAACCGGGAGAUAGCUGGUUCUCCCCGAAAGCUAUUUAGGUAGCGCCUCGUGAAUUCAUCUCCGGGGGUAGAGCACUGUUUCGGCUAGGGGGCCAUCCCGGCUUACCAACCCGAUGCAAACUGCGAAUACCGGAGAAUGUUAUCACGGGAGACACACGGCGGGUGCUAACGUCCGUCGUGAAGAGGGAAACAACCCAGACCGCCAGCUAAGGUCCCAAAGUCAUGGUUAAGUGGGAAACGAUGUGGGAAGGCCCAGACAGCCAGGAUGUUGGCUUAGAAGCAGCCAUCAUUUAAAGAAAGCGUAAUAGCUCACUGGUCGAGUCGGCCUGCGCGGAAGAUGUAACGGGGCUAAACCAUGCACCGAAGCUGCGGCAGCGACGCUGAUGCGUUGUUGGGUAGGGGAGCGUUCUGUAAGCCUGCGAAGGUGGCCUGUGAGGG